CCUACUCCCUUUCCGAGGCCGGCCGCGUGGCUGCAAGUCAUGGCGGCCUCCUUCGGGGAGAGCGCGGCGAGCAGCGUUCGGCUUUUGGCGAUGAUCUUUGGUGUCUGCAGAGAUGGUGAGAGCAGACCUGCAGGUUGAAUCUUAGAAGUAAUGAAUGGAGCCCUGAAAUGAAUUAAAGGUGUUGGCUGCGGACUUUGAAAAAGUCACGGCAAAACCAUCAUCUUAGGAUGCUGAGUGUAAGGAUCUUUGUGAUGAAGUUUCUAUAAAUGAACCAUGAAAAUAUGGCCAAUUGAUAUGAUUUGGCAGGGCAUUAUUUUUUUCUUCAGCUUUAUCGGUCCAGUCUCAGCUGCAGUUUGAGGCUGAAGAGCCUCCUCCAGAAGAAGACACUAACUGGCAGCAGCACCGUGUCAGCUGCGCUGGACCUGAAGUGGAAUUUUUCUCGUGCGUGUAAUAGAUAAGACCUUCCGAAUGGGCUUAGAUGUCUGCAGUGUGUGAGACAGAACUGAACUGAUUUGCUUGAAGCAAGUGAAAUGACUGCUCUCCUAUUAUUUGAAGACUGGCCCUGGGCUAACAUCCGUGCCCAUCUUCCUCCACUUUAUACGGGACGCCGCCACAACAUGGCUUGCCAAGCAGUGCGUCCGUGCGCGCCCGGGAUCCGAACAGGUGAACCCCGGGCCGCUGCAGCGGAGCGCGCGCGCUUAACCGCUUGCGCUACUGGGCCAGCCUCGUGUGAUUGCAUUUUGUUCUCUAAAGUAGUUUAUUCUUUAAAUUUAGCCUUCAGUUUUGAGUCCCCUGGUUGGCUGCUAUAUCAAAUGAAUCUCCUUUGCUUUUACAGGUUAUCUCCCAAUGAUCCCAGAUGGGAUCAGCACAGCCUCUGCUGCUAAUUGCUAAUGCCUAUAAAAUAAUCCCCGAAAAGGAGAAUCAUUUAAGAGUUCUUUGGACUUCAUCUUCAAAAGUAGCCAAAGAAUUCAGGUGACAGUGAGUUUAUCCCAGAAAACCUUGGGCAGUUAGUGAAAUUAGGGGCUAACUAACAACAUUCAGAACUCCAGUUUAGGUGAUCUGGGUAUAGCUCAUGUGUUGGCAGAAAUGCAGUGAUUGUAAAUUGAAAGUAAUUAACAUGUACAUGCUCUGUUGGGGGAGACAAGGGGAAACAGAUGCUCAGCCUAGAAAAAUGGUUCUCAGUGGAUUUCCUGUUAAGUCACUGUGUCUUGGGCUUAAAUUUUGAAGUGCAAAUAAAAAUGUAAAAAACUGA